rnacentral:rRNA from 1 species
UACGUAGGUGGCAAGCGUUGUCCGGAUUUACUGGGCGUAAAGAGCGCGCAGGCGGUCGUUCAAGUCGCGUGUGAAAGCCCCCGGCUCAACUGGGGAGGGUCACGCGAUACUGAUCGACUCGAAGGCAGGAGAGGGAAGUGGAAUUCCCGGUGUAGUGGUGAAAUGCGUAGAUAUCGGGAGGAACACCAGUGGCGAAGGCGACUUCCUGGCCUGUUCUUGACGCUGAGACGCGAAAGCUAGGGGAGCAAACGGG